CGCAAUUGAAAGUUCUCUUAAACUUACAGAGCGUUAUCUUUAGCGAUUGGUAAACCAGGAAUGAGGAAAUCUGUGUAUGCAUCUUCUUUUCCUGUGGUUUAAAAACGCUAUCACUUAAUUUUUGCAAGAUCCAUGGCUGACUCAUACAACUCUUUCUUCUCACUUUACCCUCCUCCUUCUCAAACAUCUUUACAUAUCAAGUAUUGCCUUUUGGCUCCAGCCUCACAAAACUGACAGCUUUGUAAAGCAUCCACCGAGAAGCCAGACUGUGUUCAGUAUGCGUUUGGAAUUAAUAGUUCUUGAUUCAAAAGCUUUGAUGUCUUGAACGUAAUUUCACAGGUGCCUUUUUCUGACCGUUUUUGUGAUGCUCAAAUAGCAAAUCUUCUGUUCUUGCUGGCUCGGGUCUCAGAGUAUCAGACCUGGAUUACCGCCUUAAAAUACCUGCACGGUUCUGCCACGGUAGCAGAUGGUGAAGUAUAAUUAAAAGAGUAAUGUCACUACUGUCACCUCAUGUGAUUUGUUUCCUUGUCCUUGCAGAAGUAAAAGUGCUGUAGUCUGCCAUGAGGUGACACGCUUCACCUACGGAUGGCCUGGUAAGCCCCUCAGACAGGGGGCCAGCAAGGCCUGGCCAGGAUUAGCAUGCUGCAGACAUCUGAGAGCUCCUGUGCCUGCUGCAGCCUUUGAAACAAUACUCUUUAUUUGGGUGUGCUUGGUGUGGGCUCAGGGAGUUUUGGGGGGUAUGAUAACUCUGCAGCACCACCCCCUUCUGCAUCGGGGGAUUUAUGCAGGAGCCUGACCCUGGACCCUGACUCCAGGGCUUCAGCUGGAGCUGCCUGCCCUGCUUCUUUUCCUGUGAGCGGUUGCCAUUUCUCUCCCUCAUCCCCACAACUGAUGACAGGCUCUAAGUUUGACCACUUCCUACAAGAAAUAAUGUAAACAGGCUGCUGGCAGCAGAGAUAGUAUUCAGUGUAAGUUGCAUCUUCAUUCACAUCACUUUUUGGUUUUUUUUUCUGUUGGGUCUCUUUCACACUUGCUGUAACAAUCCCAGCAGCAUAGCUGCUCAAGUCUUUCUUUUCCUGUAUGAGAAACUUAAAGAUGCUAGCUGUACUCAAGAGCUACUUUUGGGUUUCUCUUAACCUCCUUCUGGUCUGUUGAGACAAUAGCAUUAUGUUGUAAGUGGCUAUAUACUAGUAGAAACUAGUAAUUAAAAUACUUUUUUUCUUUAAAUGAAUAUUUUGCUAUCAACAGAUGUUUUACUCUGAGAUACUAAUGGACUCCUGCUCACUCUGAUGGUCUGCAAGCCAGGAGCAGUAAGAUACUGCCCAGAGUGAAUUAAGAGUGAAUCAAGGCUGCUGUGAAGAGUUUCUAAUGUUCAUUAAGCACUUUCACCUUCUCUUGUGAGGCCUACGAAGCCAGUAUUAAAAACAUAUUACCCCUUCCUUUUCUGUAGUAAUAGCUAAUGUUAUGCAUAUGCUAAAGUGUGGUAUAAACGUCAGCUGAUUCUGCAAGGCAGUAGCAUUCCCUCCAUUUUAUUGUUUGAUGAAAAAGAAAGGAGUCUAAAUUACUUGCCUGAAGCUACAUGCUGUAACAGCGGCAGAGUUGGAACUAAUCUGUAUUUCUGCUGCCUUCUCCAAUAUUCUAUCCUGUAGCUUACAGGCUGUUGCUACAAAGCAUGGCAUCUGCAUUAUAAGAGACUACUCUAUGUAGUUCCAACUUUCUUCAAUUUUUUUCCCCCUCCCCAGUUAUGGUUUGGACUGUUAGAUUAAUGUUAUAUUCUUAACAUAAUAAAAAAGGCAUUUCAGUACAGAUGCUUCUUUUUUUUUUUUUAAGAGAUGAUCAUACCCCGCAGCUGAUAGAGACCAGUUGAUACUGUGAUGACUCAGCUGUGGGAGUAUUACAUAAAGAAAUAUUCUUAAAAGCUUUCAAACACACAAGCCGAGGAGAUCGCUACACAAAAUUGCGAAACCGCAGCUGGCAGCAGGGAGAAGGAUCUAAUUAGCAAACGAAUGGACGUGGCUCAGUGCGGAGAUGGUCCAGGAUGGUCCAGGAAACACCCAAGCCAUGAAUACUCGAUAAGCAUCUCCGAUCGAGAGAGCCGGAGCCAUCAGGAGCACACAUCUCAGUGCCGGUUCCUAACUCGAUGAUUGGCAUAUACAUCGCUUCCCGGACACGGUUUUGUCCAGCACAACACAGAGAAAAGAAACUACAUGAAUAUGUGAAACCAUGAAAAGAAGAAAAGAGGCUCUGCCUCAGGCAGAAUAAACUACCCGGACAGGGACAGCCUUCGUGAACAGAGGGGAUCCGAUGCGAUAGAGGUCGGAUCCCUGUUCACCCAGUGCCCAUCCUGGGCUCCUGAUUGUGGCUAUCGAGAUUGUAUAUCGGUCGUGAAAGAAAAUCUGAUUUUUAAAAUUAUUAAAUUGGCUUUAUCGAUUUUUACCUACAAAA